AGUGAACGCUGGCGGUAGGCCUAACACAUGCGAGUCGAACGGCAGCACAGUAAGAGCUUGCUCUUACGGGUGGCGAGUGGCGGACGGGUGAGGAAUACAUCGGAAUCUACUUUUUCGUGGGGGAUAACGUAGGGAAACUUACGCUAAUACCGCAUACGACCUACGGGUGAAAGCAGGGGAUCUUCGGACCUUGCGCGAUUGAAUGAGCCGAUGUCGGAUUAGCUAGUUGGCGGGGUAAAGGCCCACCAAGGCGACGAUCCGUAGCUGGUCUGAGAGGAUGAUCAGCCACACUGGAACUGAGACACGGUCCAGACUCCUACGGGAGGCAGCAGUGGGGAAUAUUGGUCAAUGGGCGCAAGCCUGAUCCAGCCAUACCGCGUGGGUGAAGAAGGCCUUCGGGUUGUAAAGCCCUUUUGUUGGGAAAGAAAAGCAGCAGGUUAAUACCCCGCUGUUCUGACGGUACCCAAAGAAUAAGCACCGGCUAACUUCGUG
rnacentral:rRNA from 1 species